UUGAGCCGUACGAGAUGAAAUUUUCAUAUACGGUUCUCGGAGGGGGAAUCGGGCUAGUUACCUAUCUCAAU
rfam:Setaria italica strain Yugu1 chromosome V, whole genome shotgun sequence.